rnacentral:rRNA from 1 species
CUAACAAGGAUCCCUUAGUAACUGCGAGUGAAGAGGGAAAAGCUCAAAUUUAAAAUCUGGCAGUGUUUUGCUGUCCGAGUUGUAACCUAGAGAAGUGUAACCUGGGCUGGACCAUGUACAAGUCUCCUGGAAUGGAGCAUCGCAGAGGGUGAGAAUCCCGUCUUUGACAUGGACUACCAGUGCAUUGUGGUUGUGCUCUCAACGAGUCGAGUUGUUUGGGAAUGCAGCUCUAAAUGGGUGGUAAAUUCCAUCUAAAGCUAAAUAUUGGCGAGAGACCGAUAGCGAACAAGUACCGUGAGGGAAAGAUGAAAAGAACUUUGGAAAGAGAGUUAAACAGUAUGUGAAAUUGUUGAAAGGGAAACGUUUGAAGUCAGUCAUGUUGAUUAGGGAUCAGCCUGGCAGAUUGUUGGGUGUACUUCCUGGUUGACGGGCCAACAUCAGUUUUGACUGCCAGAGAAAGGCCAAGGGAAUGUGGCACCUUUGGGUGUGUUAUAGCUCUUGGUCGUAUGUGGUGGUUGGGACUGAGGAAAGCAGUGCGCCGAAAGGCAGGGUUUCGACCACGUUCGCACUGAGGAUGUUGGCAUAAUGGCUUUAAGCGACCCGUCUUGAAACACGGACCAAGGAGUCUAACAUGCAUGCGAGUGUUUGGGUGGAAAACUCUUACGCGCAAUGAAAGUGAAAGUUGAGAUCCCUGUCGUGGGGAGCAUCGACGCCCGGACCAGAACUUUUGGGACGGAUCUGCGGUAGAGCACGUAUGUUGGGACCCGAAAGAUGGUGAACUAUGCCUGAAUAGGGUGAAGCCAGAGGAAACUCUGGUGGAGGCUCGUAGCGAUUCUGACGUGCAAAUCGAUCGUCAAAUUUGGGUAUAGGGGCGAAAGACUAAUCGAACCA